rnacentral:rRNA from 1 species
AUUGAACGCUAGCGGCAGGCCUAACACAUGCAAGUCGAACGAGUGGCGGACGGGUGAGUAAUGUCUGUGAAACUGCCUGAUGGGGGGGGAUAACUACUGGAAACGGUAUCUCAUACCGCAUACCAUCAGAUGUGCCCCGAUGGGAUUAGCUCGUAGGUGAGGUAACGGCGCACCUAGGCGACGAUCCCUAGCUGGUCUGAGAGGAUGACCAGCCAAACUGGAACUGAGACACGGUCCAGACUCCUACGGGAGGCAGCAGUGGGGAAUAUUGCACAAUGGGCGCAAGCCUGAGGCAGCCAUGCCGCGUGUAUGAAGAAGGCCUUCGGGUUGUAAAGUACUUUCAGCGGGGAGGCGUUACCAGCAGAAGAAGCACCGGCUAACUCCGUGCCAGCAGCCGCGGUAAUUC